GAUGAACGCUAGCUACAGGCUUAACACAUGCAAGUCGAGGGGAAACGAUAGAGAAAGCUUGCUUUUUCUAGGCGUCGACCGGCGCACGGGUGAGUAACGCGUAUCCAACCUGCCCAUCACUUGGGGAUAACCUUGCGAAAGUAAGACUAAUACCCAAUGACGUCUCUAGAAGACAUCUGAAAGAGAUUAAAGAUUUAUCGGUGAUGGAUGGGGAUGCGUCUGAUUAGCUUGUUGGCGGGGUAACGGCCCACCAAGGCGACGAUCAGUAGGGGUUCUGAGAGGAAGGCCCCCCCACAUUGGAACUGAGACACGGUCCAAACUCCUACGGGAGGCAGCAGUGAGGAAUAUUGGUCAAUGGACGAGAGUCUGAACCAGCCAAGUAGCGUGAAGGAUGAAGGUCUUACGGAUUGUAAACUUCUUUAUAAGGGAAUAAAGUGGGAGUCGUGACUCUUUUUGCAUGUACCUAUGAAUAAGGACCGGCUAAUUCCGUG
rnacentral:rRNA from 1 species